rnacentral:rRNA from 1 species
ACAGGUAGGCGGGGAGAGAAUCCUAAGGUGCGCGGGAGAACCCUCGUUAAGGAACUCGGCAAAUUGCAUCCGUAACUUCGGGAGAAGGAUGACCCUGAGUAGGCGAAAGGGAGAAACCCCCGGAACAGAAAAGGGUGGCAGAAAAGAGGCCCAAGCAACUGUUUACCAAAAACACAGGUGCCUGCGAAAGCGAAAGCUGAAGUAUAGGUGCUGACGCCUGCCCGGUGCUGGAAGGUUAAGGAGAGAGGUCAGCGAAAGCGAAGCUUUGAACUGAAGCCCCAGUGAACGGCGGCCGUAACAAUAACGGUCCUAAGGUAGCGAAAUUCCUUGUCGGGUAAGUUCCGACCCGCAUGAAAGGCGUAAUGAUUUGGGCACUGUCUCAACGAGGGGCCCGGUGAAAUUGAAAUACCUGUGAAGAUGCAGGUUACCCGCGACUGGACAGAAAGACCCCAUGGAGCUUCACUGCAGCUUGAGAUUGAAUCCCGGUGACAUAUGCACAGGAUAGGUGGGAGGCUAAGAAGUAAUGCCUUUGGGUGUUACAGAGCCGAUGUUGGGAUACCACCCUUAUGUUGCUGAGAUUCUAACACGGAGACUAACAACCUCGUGGACCAUCUCAGGCAGGCGGUUUGACUGGGGCGGUCGCCUCCUAAAAUGUAACGGAGGCGCCCAAAGGUUCCCUCAGGCCGGACAGAAACCGGCCGAAGAGUGCAAAGGCAGAAGGGAGCUUGACUGCGAGACAGACAAGUCGAGCAGAGACGAAAGUCGGGCUUAGUGAUCCGGUGGUACUGAGUGGAAAGGCCAUCGCUCAACGGAUAAAAGCUACCCUGGGGAUAACAGGCUAAUCUCUCCCAAGAGUUCAUAUCGACGGGGAGGUUUGGCACCUCGAUGUCGGCUCAUCACAUCCUGGAGCUGGAGUAGGUUCCAAGGGUUGGGCUGUUCGCCCAUUAAAGUGGUACGCGAGCUGGGUUCAAAACGUCGUGAGACAGUUUGGUUCAUAUCCAUCGCGGGCGCAAGAAGUUUGAGGGAGGCUGCUCCUAGUACGAGAGGACCGGAGUGGACGGAUCAACGGUGUACCAGUUGUCACGCCAGUGGCACGGCUGGAAAGCCGCAUCCGGAAAGGAUAAACGCUGAAAGCAUCUAAGCGUGAAGCCCGUCCCGAGAUGAGACUUCUCAUCAGCAAUGAGUAAGACCCCUUAAAGACGAUGAGGUUGAUAGGCUGUGAGUGGAAGUGGCGCAAGUCAUGGAGCGACGCAGUACUAAUAGGUCGAGGUCUUACCAAA